rnacentral:misc_RNA from 1 species
UACGUAGGGUCCGAGCGUUGUCCGGAAUUAUUGGGCGUAAAGAACUCGUAGGCGGUUUGUCGCGUCUGCUGUGAAAUCCCGAGGCUCAACCUCGGGCUUGCAGUGGGUACGGGCAAACUAGAGUGCGGUAGGGGAGAUUGGAAUUCCUGGUGUAGCGGUGGAAUGCGCAGAUAUCAGGAGGAACACCGAUGGCGAAGGCUGAUCUCUGGGCCGUUACUGCCGCUGAGGAGCGAAAGCGUGGGGAGCGAACAGG